rnacentral:rRNA from 1 species
UACGUAGGGCGCAAGCGUUAUCCGGAAUUAUUGGGCGUAAAGAGCUCGUAGGCGGUUUGUCGCGUCUGCCGUGAAAGUCCGGGGCUCAACUCCGGAUCUGCGGUGGGUACGGGGCAGACUAGAGUGAUGUAGGGGAGACUGGAAUUCCUGGUGUAGCGGUGAAAUGCGCAGAUAUCAGGAGGAACACCGAUGGCGAAGGCAGGGUCUCUGGGCAUUAACUGACGCUGAGGAGCGAAAGCUAGGGGAGCAAACGGG